rnacentral:lncRNA from 1 species
AAGCUUGCAGAAAUUUCUAGGCUUGGGCUUGGCUCCGCGGGCUUCAAAAACUGGGCUUGAAAUAAAACUGAAUUGGGCCUGACUUUGCUGGGCCCAAAAAUUUGAAAUUGCUGGGCUUUCCAAUCCAAUUGAUGCUGGGCUUCAAGACUAGGACAGAAUUGGACUGGGCUUGAACUUGGGCUAAACUGAUGCUGGAACUUACAAGCUGAUGGGCCAAAAUUGCUGUGAAGAUGGGCCUCCAAAAACUAACUGAAACUGAACUUGCGUGGGCUGGAUGCUGGGCCGUGUUUGAUGGAGAUGGGCUCACGAAACUCGCUGGAUGUCGUGGCUGGAGACGCGGACGAAAGGAGCUCCUUCGUUUGAGGUUGGCGCGGCAAGAUUGAAGCAGAAACGGAGCUGGGGAUGGGUG